AGCGAACGCUGGCGGCAGGCUUAACACAUGCAAGUCGAGCGGGCGUAGCAAUACGUCAGCGGCAGACGGGUGAGUAACGCGUGGGAACGUACCUUUUGGUUCGGAACAACCCAGGGAAACUUGGGCUAAAUACCGGGAUAAGCCCUUACGGGGAAAGAUUUAUCGCCGAAAGAUCGGCCCGCGUCUGAUUAGCUAGUUGGUGAGGUAACGGCUCACCAAGGCGACGAUCAGUAGCUGGUCUGAGAGGAUGAUCAGCCACAUUGGGACUGAGACACGGGCCCAAACUCCUACGGGAGGCAGCAGUGGGGAAUAUUGGACAAUGGGCGCAAGCCUGAUCCAGCCAUGCCGCGUGAGUGAUGAAGGCCCUAGGGUUGUAAAGCUCUUUUGUGCGGGAAGAUAANGACGGUACGCAAGAAUAAGCCCCGGCUAACUUCGUGCCAGCAGCCG
rnacentral:rRNA from 1 species